rnacentral:sRNA from 1 species
CAUCGAUUAAACAAGUUCUCUUGAGGGUCUAAGGCAAACAUUUUGUAUUUUAGUUUCUUUUUGCCGCUUCAAUUUACGGUUAGAAGGUGGUCGUGAGCGUGUGCUACCAGGGAACAACUCUUACAACUCAGAGAGAAAACUGUGAAUUCUCCAUCAAGUUGUAGUGGAAUUUGUUUCCUUGUGACAUCUUGAAUUUUGAGGAUAAGAUUGUCAUACAUAUCCUGCAGUUAAAGUAGGAU